UUCGUGCAGGCUCGUGUAGGAAAGUGUAGUGCCGGGUAGCGGCUAUGACGUCGUGUGCUGCACUUGGCUCGCUGGGCUGUAGCCAAUCAGAGCAGAAUGCGCGUCGUCUUCUGCAUCAGCAGACGAAAAGCGCCUGACUCUGCACUUCGCCUGACUUCGCAUUUACUGGCUGCAUUUAUGCCCUUGCCUGAAACUAAACGCCAAUGUACGAGUUUCCUUUCAUCAACAAAUCUUGACAAACUGCAGCGAAAUACAUCGCGAAUGCGCGGUGCACGAAGACAACCUCUAAUAAUUCAGCGCGCGCGG
rnacentral:lncRNA from 1 species